rnacentral:rRNA from 1 species
GACGUAGGGCGCGAGCGUUGUCCGGAUUUAUUGGGCGUAAAGAGCUCGUAGGCGGCUUGUCGCGUCGACCGUGAAAACUCGCAGCUCAACUGCGAGCCUGCGGUCGAUACGGGCAGGCUAGAGUUCGGUAGGGGAGACUGGGAUUCCUGGUGUAGCGGUGAAAUGCGCAGAUAUCAGGAGGAACACCGGUGGCGAAGGCGGUUCUCUGGGACGUGACUGACGCUGAGACGCGAAAGCGUGGGGAGCAAACAGG